GAAAGCGUCUUCGCCACUGGAGUGCACAACAGCGCCCUCUUGUGACUGACUGUUAUAAUUGCCAAAUCCUUGUCGAAUCACGUUGUUUCCAGAUAAUUCUUAGUCCGUAAAAUCCUUGUUAAUGACUCCAAAUCAUCAUUUGCCUUUAUAAUCCAAUCACCAGGUUAAUUAUAAAUACCCCCUGUGCGUGAAUUACUGAAAGACCACAGACUACACAGACCUCACAUACUACACAGACCACACAGGCUUAUACUAGGACCAGACCAGGCCAAGUACCCAUUUAAAAUAAAACCAAUCUCAGCCCA
rnacentral:lncRNA from 1 species